rnacentral:rRNA from 1 species
CUGGGGAAUAUUGGACAAUGGGCGCAAGCCUGAUCCAGCAAUACCGCGUGUGUGAAGAAGGCCUGAGGGUUGUAAAGCACUUUCAAUUGGGAGGAAAACCUGCCGGUCAAUACCCGGUAGCUUGACAUUACCUUUAGAAGAAGCACCGGCUAACUCCGUG